rnacentral:lncRNA from 1 species
CAGGGAUCUGGAGCAAUGACUCGGGUCUUUGCUUUAGAGCAAAACACAAAAAUGUUUUAAAAUCUUGCCUUGUGUUACUCAAGUAAAUGUAAAGGAGAAGGAGAUUCCUGCAACGAUUAUUGCAUUUUUAAGUGAGUGUGUGUGUGUUUUUUUUCCAUCUUUGCACAUGAACAGUCCAUGUGAGACUAAGUACCUUCCAUGUGACUAGCUCAUUCCCAUGCUUGGAGUGUAACAGGGCAUUUAAAGCCAUACCAGGCAAGGUCAAUGUGCCUGUUUGUUGGUGCUGGUUGGUGAACAAGCAUCACAGAGAAGCUCAACAAGAAUAUAUUAAGCAACAACUAAGUGUGAAGCAUGUGGAUGGACAGAGCUUCUGAUUACAGGCCAAGCGUGUUCAAAUCUUGCAAAGGUGUAAAUGAGGACAGCCUAAGGCAGACAAUGAAGGGCUUGCCAGACCAAGAAACCUGUAUUUUGCCAACCUGUUCAGGAUUUGAUUACUUUUAAAAGCCCAAGCUACAAAUAAAAACUUCAACAAUCUCUGUGUAAUGAAAAAG